rnacentral:misc_RNA from 1 species
GAUGAAGAACGUAGCGAAAUGCGAUAAGUUGUGUGAAUUGCAGAAUUCAGUGAAUCAUCGAAUCUUUGAACGCACAUUGCGCCCCUUGGUAUUCCAUGGGGCAUGCCUGUUCGAGCGUCAUUUGUACCUUCAAGCUCUGCUUGGUGUUGGGUGUUUGUCUCGCCUCUGCGUGUAGACUCGCCUCAAAACAAUUGGCAGCCGGCGUAUUGAUUUCGGAGCGCAGUACAUCUCGCGCUUUGCACUCAUAACGACGACGUCCAAAAGUACAUUUUUACACUCUUGACCUCGGAUCAGGUAGGGAUACCCGCUGAACUUAAGCAUAUCAAUAAGCGGAGGA